rnacentral:rRNA from 1 species
AUACGGAGGAUCCGAGCGUUAUCCGGAUUUAUUGGGUUUAAAGGGUGCGCAGGCGGCCAUUUAAGUCAGCGGUUAAAUCGUGGGGCUCAACCCCAUUCUGCCGUUGAUACUGGGUGGCUUGAUUGCGGUCGAGGUUGGCGGAAUUCGUUGUGUAGCGGGGAAAUGCAUAGAUAUGACGAAGAACACCGAUUGCGUAGGCAGCUGACCAGACCGCAAAUGACGCUCAUGCACGAAAGUGCGGGGAUCGAACAGGAUUAGAUACCCUGGUAGUCCGCACAGUAAACGAUGAAUACUUGUUUUCGGCGAUAUAAUGUCGGAGGCAAGGCGAAAGCGAUAAGUAUUCCACCUGGGGAGUACGCCGGCAACGGUGAAACUCAAAGGAAUUGGCGGGG